UACGAAGGGGGCUAGCGUUGCUCGGAAUCACUGGGCGUAAAGGGUGCGUAGGCGGGUCUUUAAGUCAGGGGUGAAAUCCUGGAGCUCAACUCCAGAACUGCCUUUGAUACUGAGGAUCUUGAGUUCGGGAGAGGUGAGUGGAACUGCGAGUGUAGAGGGUGAAAAUUCGUAGAUAUUCGCAAAGAACACCAGUGGCGAAGGCGGCUCACUGGCC
rnacentral:rRNA from 1 species